rnacentral:lncRNA from 1 species
GCGCUCCAGCCCGCAGCAGAUGUCGGCCCGGCCUUCCCUCCCUCCCUUGCCGGCCAAACCCGCUGGAAGCCCGCGGUUGCGGGAGCGCCCUGCGCCCGUGGGACCUGGCGGCGAGGACGCCUAUUCCCUGCUUCUGCGACCACAGCUGGGCACUCGGAAAGUUGCUAGGGCCGAAGAGGCGGGAGGGGAGGAAGGGAAGCGAGAGGCGGAGGCGUGGACCAGGCGGGCAGCAGCCUCAGCCCGCCGAGGAGUGAUCCUCCGACUGUGAAAAACCAGACCUCUGGCUGCCUGGCUCCCUAGGAAUCAAGAAGACGCACAGACUGAAAAUCAAGGGAGGAAGGAACAAGAUCAAGGAUGAGGAUUAGCAUCUGCAAAUUGAACUCUAUCUAAUUUGCAUGUUUAUUUCUUAGAAUUGUAAUUAAAUUUGUGUAAUAAAUGUUUUCCAUUUCAUUUGUACACUUAAAACUUGGGUGACUGACAUGCAGUUAAGUGAAUUUCCUUUUUUUAAAAGCAAAUGUAGAUUAUUCAAUAAAGCAGCAAACCAAUAUUAAACAUAAUUAGAACUAA